rnacentral:rRNA from 1 species
UACGGGGGGAGCAAACGUUGUUCGGAAUCACUGGGCGUAAAGGGCGUGUAGGCGGCUGGAUAAGUGGGAUGUUAAAUCCCCCGGCUCAACCGGGGACCUGCAUCUCAUACUGUUCAGCUCGAGCACAUCAGAGGAGACUGGAAUUCCCGGUGUAGCGGUGAAAUGCGUAGAUAUCGGGGAGGAACACCAGUGGCGAAGGCGAGUCUCUGGGAUGAUGCUGACGCUGAGGCGCGAAAGCCAGGGGAGCAAACGGG